rnacentral:lncRNA from 10 species
AAAUCGUCUUUCUAAUCAUCACCCCUUUCUUUUUUCAACUCCUUUGUGGACAUUUUAUUCCAUUUUCUGCAUCUCUUUUGUUUUUGUUUUUUUUCUUUAUUUCUUAUUUCAGAGGAUUGGAGUGGGAAGGAUAAGGUAUACUGUGUUUCAGCCUUGCAUUUAAACCAAAAGUCUCAACCAUGUUUUUUUGUUGUUGUUGUUGUCUUUUUUGAGACGGAGUCUCACUCUGUCGCCAGGCUGGAGUGCAGUGGCACAAUCUCGGCUCACUGCAACCUCUGCCUCCCAGGAGAAUCUCUUGAGCCUGGGAGGUGGAGGUUGCCCUGAACCAAGAUGGUACCACUGCACUCCCGUCUGGGAGAGAGAGUGAAACCUUGUCUCAGAGAAAAAAAAAAAAAAAAAAUCCCACAUGCCAGUUUAUAGCUUGCUUGUUAAUUUGUGUAGAAAUAGCAAUUAGCUGUAGCCGUAUUUCUUGAGAGAUCUGGGUCCCUAUCUAUCUCUUCUAAGUAUUCUGGGUUUAUUUAUUAAUGUCUAUUUUUGCUAGCUAAACAAACUGAUUUCCCGAC